AUAGCGAGUAGUGCUUCCACACGGGUUUGCAGCAACACGCCGACGCUGGCUCAGCUAGUUAUCCACACUGUUAAUCUUCACGUUGCUUGCAUUAUAGCAAGUAACGUUAGCGAUUCCAUACUGGUUUGCAGCAACACGCCGACGCUGGCUCAGCUAGUUAUCCACACUGUUCACGUUGCUUGCAUUAGAGCAGGUAACGUUAGCGAUUCCACACUGGUUUGCAGCAACAGGCAACGUUGACGCUGGUGAGAGUGUGCUCAGCUAGUCACCCACAUUGUUAAACUCCCUGGGCUUUAUAACAUCUAAUAAAUCUACUGUAGGCUGGCUUCAACUGAGGAUUACUUCGUCUGUCCAACUAGCCACUGUUUUUCCUGGGGUUAAUCAUUCCUUUAGUUUGUAUUUGCCUUGAAUAUAUGUGCCACAACGUGUCCUGACCUGGAGCUUGGUGGGCUUAGGGGGAAGGCCUGCUAAGUUUAGCUUGCUAGUUGUACCGUUUGUUGGUUCGUUUAUUUGUCUGUCUUUCUUUCUUUUUUGUCUAUGUUAUGCAACCAUUGUGCAAUAUUUCUCUUAGGGGGCAGUGUCCUUUUGUAGUGUCCACCUGUGUGCAGUGUGAAACGCCGUGUGCGUGUACGGCCUAUUUGGUGUGGAGUCUCUUUGCAGUGUUUGAGUGUGUGCGUUUACACGCAAACUAUUGACUUUAUUCACUGUGAUCAUAUUUUGCUGUGACUUAUUUAUUGGAGAGCCUUGUCACUGCCACCAACAUAGAAUAUUUGACUGCAUGGUUGUAUUUAUUGUGUCUUGAGUGUUUUAAUAAAAGUAUA